rnacentral:lncRNA from 1 species
GUUUCUCUUGAUGAAACCAGACAUUCCAGCUCUCUUUUCCUGCCUCCAAGACUCCAAGCUCACCUUGAGAGUUUCCUCGGAAUUGACUGCUACACCCACUUCAAUAGGAUUGACCUUUUUGUUGAGGGCCUUCCAAGAACACCAUGAUGAAGUGGAAGGAGAUCGUUCACAGGGAUGAACACUUACCAAAGACUGAGCCCAGGGUACUUGCUGAUGGAUUCCCAGACUCAAAAGCCUCUGAGAUUGAAGAACUAAAACACUUUGUCCUGGCCACUGACCACAAACCAGAGCUAAAGGACACACAAAGCCUCAGAGGACUCAGAACCAGGAACUUCUAAAGUGUCCACUCAGCUUAGCAGAGUCUCUGUGGCACAGAAUGGGUGAUAGUAUAGAAGCAUGGUGGCUUGUUGUUCUAAAUAAUGUUAGGAAAACUGGGGCACUCAUAAAUAUAGAAACAGAG